rnacentral:rRNA from 1 species
GACGAACGCUGGCGGCGUGCUUAACACAUGCAAGUCGAACGGAAAGGCCCUGCUUUUGUGGGGUGCUCGAGUGGCGAACGGGUGAGUAACACGUGAGUAACCUGCCCUUGACUGUGGGAUAACUUCAGGAAACUGUAGCUAAUACCGCAUAGGAGCUCAUGCUGCAUGAUAGUGGUUGGAAAGUUUCGGCGGUUGGGGUUGGAGUCGCGGCUUCUUUGCUUGUAGGUGGGGUAGUGGCGUACAAAGGCGUUGACGGGUAGCCGGCCUGGGAGGGUGACCGGCCCCAUUGGGCCGGGGGUAGGGGCAGGAGGGAUACGGGAGGCAGCGGUGGGGAAUAGUGCACAAUGGGCGGAAGCCUGAUGCAGCAACGUCGGGUGGGGGAUGACGGCUGUCGGGUUGUAAACCGCUUUCGCCUGUGACGAAGCGUGAGUGACGGUAACGGGUAAAGAAGCACCGGCUAACUACGUG